rnacentral:rRNA from 1 species
UACGGAAGGGCAGCAGUGGGGAAUAUUGCACAAUGGGCGCAAGCCUGAUGCAGCCAUGCCGCGUGUAUGAAGAAGGCCUUCGGGUUGUAAAGUACUUUCAGUCGUGAGGAAGGUGUUAAGGUUAAUAACCUUAGCAAUUGACGUUAGCGACAGAAGAAGCACCGGCUAACUCCGUGCCAGCAGCCGCGGUAAUACGGAGGGUGCGAGCGUUAAUCGGAAUUACUGGGCGUAAAGGGCACGCAGGCGGUUAAUUAAGUUGGAUGUGAAAUCCCCGGGCUUAACCUGGGAAUGGCAUUCAAGACUGGUUAGCUAGAGUCUUGUAGAGGGGGUAGAAUUCCGAUGUGUAGCGGUGAAAUGCGUAGAGAUGUGGAGGAAUACCGGUGGCGAAGGCGGCCCCUGGGACAAAGACUGACGCUCAUGUGCGAAAGCGUGGGGAGCAAACAGGGAUUAGAUACC